rnacentral:lncRNA from 1 species
AGGUCAGCGUCGUCGUUGCUCGUUGGUGCUCGUCCACUGUCUUUCAUUCGACUAGUGAAGCUCUUUGCCUCUAUCAACAAUAACAUCAUCAGACUCAAACAUUGGCCAUGGUAAACGGUAAGAGUUUAGGUUUAUUAUUUUUUAUUUUUUUUAACUGUGUUGGUGUUAGUUGGGUGAUUUUGAUGUUUGUGUAUUGCUAAGAAUAGUGGAUUUAAUAGGGAAUCCGAAUGUCUUUACCUUUUGUUACAAUUCAAUGUUUUCGAUUUAGAUACCAAUGCCAUAUUAUAUCUGGAGAAGGUCUUUGAUUUUGCAAGCUUCUGCAAACUAAUCUGUUUGAUUAAAUUAUGGUUGUUUGUGUGAACUGAGCUCUCUUGCAAGCAAUUUGCACCAACACUGGUUAGCCCAUAGUGUAGUAUCUCUAUUUUGGUAAAUACUUGAAACUUGAGUAAGGGGGUCUUUUCUAAGUUCUAUCUGUUGGAGCCAUCUGUUGACCCAAUCAUGCGACACUUAAUAGACAUAAAUAGUUUGAAAAGGUGAUGCAAAGAGGCAUGCUCACUUUAGUAUUGGCUGAGGUUUGGACUUUUUUGAUGUGGUUAAUAUUGUAAUUGGUCACUGGUAAAGUUGUAGGAGAGGAAAAAGAAAAAAAAUUUGGUGGGAAGAAAUGUCCUUCAAUUGAAGUAUAAAGCUUGAGUUUGGGAGGAUAAAUAUGUUGUGCAUUUAGGCAAAUCCUGUAGUUGGAGGAACGCUAACCAUUUUUUUUUAAUUCUAUCUUAAACUUUUUCAUGCAAAUUGUUAAAUGGAACUUGAAAGAUAGUAUUUGUAAGCAGUCAAUUCUAUAUGAGGAGUGUGGUAGAAUAAAUUAAGAUGUAAGUUAGAUCAAUGUUUAACAAAUAAAGGAGACAUUUGUUAGCUGUAUAGUGUACAUUUAAUGUGAAUAUCAUCAUUUAGGAUUAUGUCGAUCAUCUCAAUCUAACCACUUUUCAUGUUUGAACUUGCAUAGGAAAAAAACAAAGUGAAGAACAAAAAUGAGAGUGGAACCAUUUUGUUAUGAUUAGGUGUAGCAGCUAUUACAUCACACCCAUUUUUCAUCAGCAAGUGAAGAAAGUAUCUUAAGAUCUUUUCAUGAUGCAUAGCAGUUAUACUUUUCUGUAUUGUAGAACUUUGUUGAGCACAUUAUGCUCCUUGUUCACUUAUCUUUUUCAUUGUUAUUCUCUCAUGUACCAGGCUUGGAAGCCUUGAACUUUCUU